GUCUGCACUGUCAUGUAUGUUUGCACUAUGUCCAUACUUUCUUCUGCACUGGAAGCUCCUGUCGUCAAGUCAAAUUCAUUGUGUCUGUAAACAUACAUGGUAAUAAAGCUCUUUCUGACUUUCUGACAAGGGAGAAGGAGAGGUAGGGGGCAAAAGGCAAAGGGCUGUAUGUUUUUUUUUUUACACAGAAAUUUCAUUUU